GCAGCAGCCGUAGCUCUCCGUCGUCGUCGUCGUGUCAUCACUCGGGGAUGCUGGCAUCGCCCCGGAGGGCAGGCUGGCUCAGGGGAUCCAAGCAGGGCUGAGGGGCUGAGGGGACAAUGGGGCAGCCACCAAGAGAGCCAGAGUGCACCUCCAGCUCCCCAGGCCUCAGAAGGGGGGGAGGAAUCCCAGGAAGGCAGCACCGAGCAGCCUGCACCCCGGGGAGGCUGGUUUGGAUUUUCCAUCCAGUGGGUUGAUGAAGACAGGAGGAGAGUUGUGAACCCUGACAAAUCGGAAGAUGCUGUCCUGUCAAGGGGCUUCCAGAUGAUGGCGGAUCAUCCUCCUGCCUUGCUCAGCCCUUAUUUUACGCAGUCGCCAGGGUUCCAGGAGCAACUCCUCCAUGCUGCUUGCAUUCCAGAAUGAAGCUCUUUCUGAAGAAGGGGUGAGGCCCCCUUUCAAAGAGGUGAGCCACCCAGAGUGUCCUGGGGGGGGGACUUUGCUGAGCUGUGACAAGAGACAUUUAUUCUCCACCCAUCUGUUUAGUCACUGGGUAUCACCCAGAGGCUCUGAAAAUCUGCUGUGUUAGAAAGAAAGAAAGGAAAGAAAGAAAGAAAAAGAAAGAAAGAAGAAAGAAAGAAAAAAGAAGAAAGAAAGAAGAAAGAGAGAAAGAAAGAAAGAAAGAAAGAAAGAAAGAAAGAAAGAAAGAAAGAAAGAAAGAAAGAAAGAAAGAAAGAACUCCAGUUGCCUGCUGAAAAGGAAAUGCAGAAGGGGCCUGCAGAAGAGGCCCACGUUCUGCGUUCUGCGUCUGGCCCUGCCUCGAGAGGCUGAGCAAAGCAGGCCAUUCCUUCCCCUCUCAGAUGCCUCCCCUCAAAAGGAAGGAUAAUAAGAAGAGCUCCUUUUGAGAAUUCCCAUCAGCCAAUGUAGGGAAAGAUGCUACCGCACUGUUUUUCGUUCAGCAAACAUUUGCUGAGCCCCCACUGUGUGCCAGAGAAUGUUCUAGGUUGUGGGAGACGACAGCAGGGGCACAAGAUAGGCAAUAGCCCUGCCCUCAUGGAGCUGAUGUUCUAGAAGGUGGGAGAACUCAUCUCUUUUAGUCUCUCGGAGUCAUUUCUGAGUUCAUUGUGGAAGCUACACAGGGCUUUGUAUGGGGCUUGGGACAGAGCAGGUGGUCAAUACUUUUUUUUUCUUUUUUUAACCAAUGAAUGGUAAAUAGCCAAACACCAGGAGGAAGGGACCAGUGGUAGUGUACAUGUAAGGCAGAGUGGGUGGUGAUUCUGGGUCUGGAGGCUGGGGCCCUAAGCCUCUUAAGUCCUGGAGACAUCAGGGGCCCUGCAAAAGAUUCUCAGCCCAGCCAAGAUGGCCCUGACCAAGGCUGGUCACCCCUACACCUCCUUUGUGUACCCCUCUGAGCAUCUGACUUUCUGAUCUCCACCUCUACAUGGAGUGAGCAGGAAUUCUGACCAGAAUAUAGGUGGCAUUGUAAAUUAAAAGCUUUCUCCAUCCCUGUUGAUGCAGGCUUGGGAUGCUGUGGAGGGACUGCAAGUCUGGGAACCAGAUAAUCAGUGCUUCAAAUCCUGUCUCUGCCACUCACUUGUGUGAUCCUGGGAAGGGUAUGAACCUCUCCUAAACUUUACUUUUCUUGUCUUUAAAAUGUGGACUAUGUGUCCCACCAGGUUGUUUCGAGGAUUAACUGGACAUAAAGGCACAGAGGCCGGGAUGCAAGGAGUGGACAAGAGGUUGAAACACACAAUUUACAGAGAUCAGACAAGCAAUUUAAACAGGUGAAGCAGCUUGGGUGUGGGCAAUAGGGGCUGGUGGAGAGUGUGGCAAACAAGAGAGCACCUGCCCUGUUUAAAGGCCAAUUCCUGCCAACUGUCCUCAUGUAGGGAUGUAGGGCCCAAGGUUACCAAAUCUUCUGAUUUUCUAAACAGAGGCCCCAAAUCCCGAUUUUCAUAUGAAAUCUCCUAACUUUAAAAUAAUGCCAAUGAAGGGUGCCUGGGUGGCUCAGUCAGUUGAACAGCAACUCUUGUCUUCGACUCUGGCCAUGAUCUCAGGGUCAUGGGAUCAAGCCCUACAUCUGGCUCUACACUCAGCGAGGAAUCUGCUUAAGGAUUUCUUUGCCUCUGCCUCUCCCCUCAGCUUGUAUUCUCACGCACUCUCUCUCUCUCAAAUAAAUCUUUUUUUUUUUUUUUUAAAUGGUCCCAAUUAACUUGUUAAAAGUCAUAAAGCUGUGCAAGGGCAACUAAACACAUUGUGGCCACAGGGCAACUCCAGGUUACAAAUGCGGGGUUCCUCUUCCCCUUGACUUUGCAGCCAGGCAGGGGUCGAGGGGAGCUGGGUACAAGGAAAUAAUCUCACCAUUCUGAAUUAGCACUGUGGUUGACCCUAUGAAGGGGAAGCACCCAGGGCCUGGAGAGCAUAUUCCAAGGAGAAGGGGAAGCUUCUCAGAGAAGGAAGAGACUCGAGUCUGGGCUCCUGGCAUGAAGGGGAGCAGGCAAGAGACAAGGAAAGGGCAUGCCCGCAGAGGAGAGCCCACAGCCAAAGGCUGGGGAGUGGGUCUUGGCUCUAUCCCCCAGGGGAUUAGAAAGGCACCCAGCCUAGCACAGAGACUCUGCCCACACAGCUCACCACUCACCGGGGGGAGGAACGGGGUGCAGCCCUUCCAGAGAACUCUGCCAGGUUCAGGAAUCACCCACCAGAAUCCCAGUGAGUGGAGCCCCCUCCCCACAGACUAGCUGCACAUCAAGGUGGGGGAACCUCCUAUGGGGCCUCUCUGCCUGACCUCAUCCAGUGACUCUUAGCUCCCAGCCCCUGCCCAGCCCACUCUUUCCUGAAGUAGAGAACCUGGAAGCACACUUCAGAUUCCUCUGCAGAUUAUGUGCUAUUUGGGGCGAGGCCUGGCACAUUCCAGAACA